AACCCGUUUCCUCAUCUUUUAUUAUUCUUUGCUUUGUAUCUCACACUCCAGUCAAUCAAACUGUUUUGUUCCCUUCUUAUGCUAGAAAAUUUGUCACUUGACUUUGUGCACCUUAUUCCCUCUAUUUGAAAUACUCCACAGUCCUGACCAAGGUCACAUACAUAAUUAUGGUAGCAUAGAAUUUGAAUUAUAGUAAGCCUUCUAAAAAUGAAUUUUUCCUUUCACCCAUGUUCUUUCCAGUUUAUUAUCUAAAAGGAUAUAACAAUGCAUAUGUAAUGAUGAGGAUAUUUAUAUGUACUUAUGAA
rnacentral:lncRNA from 1 species